rnacentral:rRNA from 1 species
AUUGAACGCUGGCGGCAGGCCUAACACAUGCAAGUCGAACGAGUGGCGGACGGGUUAGUAAUGACUGGGAAACUGCCUGAGGGAGGGGGAUAAAUACUGGAAACGGUAGCUAAUAACGCAUACCAUCAGAUGGGCCCAGAUGGGAUUAGCUUGUUGGUAGGGUAACGGCUCACAAAGGCGACGAUCCCUAACUGGUCUGAGAGGAUGACCAGCCACACUGGAACUGAGACACGGGCCAGACUCCUACGGGAGGCAGCAGUGGGGAAUAUUGCACAAUGGGCGCAAGCCUGAUGCAGCCAUGCCGCGUGUAUGAAGAAGGCCUUCGGGUUGUAAAGUACGUUCAGCGGGGAGGCGUUACCCGCAGAAGAAGCACCGGCUAACUCCGUGCCAGCAGCCGCGGUAAUUC